rnacentral:rRNA from 1 species
GACGAACGCUGGCGGCGUGCCUAAUACAUGCAAGUCGAGCGAAUCAAUAGGAGCUUGCUCCUGUUGGUUAGCGGCGGACGGGUGAGUAACACGUGGGCAACCUGCCUGUAAGACUGGGAUAACACCGGGAAACCGGUGCUAAUACCGGAUAAUCCUUUUCCUCUCAUGAGGAAAAGCUGAAAGUCGGUUUCGGCUGACACUUACAGAUGGGCCCGCGGCGCAUUAGCUAGUUGGUGAGGUAACGGCUCACCAAGGCGACGAUGCGUAGCCGACCUGAGAGGGUGAUCGGCCACACUGGGACUGAGACACGGCCCAGACUCCUACGGGAGGCAGCAGUAGGGAAUCUUCCACAAUGGACGAAAGUCUGAUGGAGCAACGCCGCGUGAGCGAUGAAGGCCUUCGGGUCGUAAAGCUCUGUUGUUAGGGAAGAACAAGUACCGGAGUAACUGCCGGUACCUUGACGGUACCUAACCAGAAAGCCACGGCUAACUACGUGCCAGCCGCCGCGGUAAUAC